rnacentral:rRNA from 1 species
GACGGAGGUUCCAAGCGUUGUUCGGAUUGACUGGGCGUAAAGGGAGCGCAGGCGGUUGAGUAAGUCUGAAGUGGAAGCCUGGAGCUUAACUCCAGAAGUGCUUUAGAUACUGCUCGGCUUGAGUAUGCCAGAGGGAAGUGGAAUUCAGGGUGUAGCGGUGAAAUGCUUAGAUAUCCUGAGGAACACCGGUGGCGAAAGUGGCUUUCUGGGGCAUUACUGACGCUCAGGCUCGAAAGCGUGGGGAGCAAACAGG